GUCCACGCUGUAAACGAUGAGUACUAGGUGUUGCGGGUAUUGACCCCCGCAGUGCCGACGCUAACGCAUUAAGUACUCCGCCUGGGAAGUACGGCCGCAAGGCUAAAACUCAAAGGAAUUGACGGGGGCCCGCACAAGCGGUGGAGCAUGUGGUUUAAUUCGACGCAACGCGAAGAACCUUACCCAGACUUGACAUUGAUGGAAUCCUGUAGAGAUACGGGAGUGCCCUUCGGGGCCCAGAAACAGGUGCUGCAUGGCUGUCGU
rnacentral:rRNA from 1 species